AGACUGCAGCUAUGACUGAGCUGCUGAGACUUCAGGUGCACAAACAACACUCUGUGUGGAUUCACUGGCAGUUUUCAGCUGGAGCCCUACGAUGACCCUGAGUUCCUACCACUGCUCAAUCUUUUCAAUCUGUCUGGGAGGUGAGAAACAGUUUGAAGAAGAGGGACAUUGAGUUUGAGGCACGACAAUUCCUCAAGUCCCAAAAGACCAGGACUCCUAAGUUAAGAGAUCCCAGGAUCAUCAGUUUGGCUCAGGAGUUCUCCAGCAUCCUGACGGAGCAGCAGCAGCAGCCCCUCACCUCCAAACACCUGGGCCCAAAAGUCACAAAUUCAAACGUU